rnacentral:rRNA from 1 species
UACGUAGGGGGCAAGCGUUGUCCGGAUUUAUUGGGCGUAAAGAGCGUGUAGGCGGUUUGGUAGGUCCGUUGUGAAAACUCGAGGCUCAACCUCGAGACGCCGGCGGAAACCAUCAGGCUAGAGUCCGGAAGAGGAGAGUGGAAUUCCGUGGUGUAGCGGUGAAAUGCGCAGAUAUCAGGAAGAACACCCGUGGCUAAGGCGGCUCUCUAGUACGGUACUGACGCUGAGACGCGAAAGCGUGGGGAGCGAACAGG